rnacentral:sRNA from 1 species
ACCAGCUGUGCGGCCCAAAGCGACGCGCAGGGCUGCUUCAAGGAUGCAGGCAUCCGCGGCUGGACCAAUUCUUUAGCGCACCGGCCGGCUCGUAGGGCUGCCGGUGCG